GACGUAGGGCGCAAGCGUUGUCCGGAUUUAUUGGGCGUAAAGAGCUCGUAGGCGGCUUGUUGCGUCGACUGUGAAAUCCCGCGGCUUAACUGCGGGCUUGCAGUUGAUACGGGCAGGCUGGAGUUCGGUAGGGGAGACUGGAAUUCCUGGUGUAGCGGUGAAAUGCGUAGAUAUCGGGAGGAACACCAGUGGCGCAAGCGGCUGACUGGCCGAGACCUGACGCUGAGACGCGACGGCGUGGGGAGCAAACCGG
rnacentral:rRNA from 1 species